rnacentral:rRNA from 1 species
UGGUGGGAAGUACCGGUCGCCAAGAUCUAGAAACCUCUAAUGAGAUUUUGAACCGGGGGCCGCCACAUAGCCGGUGGAAGCUUUGGUUGUUUAUAUUUUCCAAUGCCAACGGCCAAGAACCCUAACCCUGCCUCUGGAACCUUGCUACUGAGACCUUCCCGAAAAUUGAAUUGGUUCCUCUCCGGAACCUCGAGACACAGGUCCGCCUUGCCGGUCUCCGCCUCUGUCUUAAAAUUUGGGGUAAGUUCCCUCACCAACCCCACCCUGUUCCUAAUUACCCACCACUUAUUGUUGGCACCUCUAAGAAAACCGCCGUUACCAACCCGAAGAAAGGUGGGAAUACCUUCAGGUCUUCUUGGCCCUACCGGCCAUGGCCUCCCACCCGUUACUACCAAUUGUUACGGAUACCGAAAGGGCUCUGGCCAACGCCCCGGCCGAACGGUGGGUAGGCCUAU